rnacentral:tRNA from 1 species
AAAAUAUUAGGUUAAAUAUAAACCUUUGACCUUCAAAGUCAAGAAUCUUUUUGAUAUUUUG